rnacentral:rRNA from 1 species
UACGUAGGGGGCUAGCGUUGUCCGGAAUCAUUGGGCGUAAAGCGCGUGUAGGUGGCGAGGCAAGUCGGGUGUGAAAGCCCUGGGCUCAACCCAGGAAGUGCACUCGAUACUGCCUAGCUAGAGUCCCGGAGAGGUUGGUGGAACUCUCGGUGUAGAGGUGAAAUUCGUAGAUAUCGAGAAGAACACCGGUGGCGAAGGCGGCCAACUGGACGGUGACUGACACUGAGACGCGAAAGCGUGGGGAGCAAACAGG